GAUCUGAUCUGGCAAGGUUUCUAUGGCCGGAUGCCCUUCCUAACUCCAAUUACUCUGAGUGUAGUGGGUGUUUUUUUACAUGCCACCAGCAUGGGUGCUGUUGAACUAACACUGGCAUCGGCCUUGAUUACGGUCUCACUUGGCUUGACAGGUCUACGCAACAACUUCGAUGUUGUGAUUGUUUAUUUUUCAGAAUGAUAUUGUUGGAUAGGUGUGAGGGGCCAAAUCUGGCUAGUUUGGGCAUAAAUCAGGUAGAAUAUUUGGAAGAGAGAGAGAAGACUAUUAUAAUGAAGUGUCAAACACCAGAGAUUAAUUUAGACUCAUUCCGAUAAGUAGAUUAUCUUCCUCAUCUAGGUGGCUCUCCAUGCAGACAAUUCUAUGCGGACUACCCACAACAUUGUUGUGUGUCAUGUCAUGUCAUGAAUAUUAAGUGGUUCGAGUUAAAGAAUUAUUUGCGAUUACAUGGACAGUAUGUGACUGGAAAGAAGGCGGAUUUGGUUGAAAGGUUAAAAGGUAUUAAAAUUCUCAUGAUAAAGAAUGUCAAUGAAUUAAAAUCAACAGACGAGAAGUGUACUUCAGACCGGAAUAAGCAGAAACUUGUAUCUCCUCUCGGUGAAGUUUUACCCGAUCCUAAUGUGCUGAAAUCAGAUUGGACUAAAGAUCUUCAUAAGUUGCUGAAUUUUACGGAUAAUCACGUUCACAAUUGCCUCGUGCUUCGGAUGAAGGCAAAGCGACAGUUAAGGAGUGGCAUAUUUUACCAUGACAGACACGUCCACAACAUUGAAUAACACGAUGUUACCGAAAACAACUCUCACUGCAUUGUCCGGUGUUUGGUAAUCCCGUCAAAACCAACAUCUAACUAAAAGAACAAUCCUGACCACAGAGUGUGGUUAAUUAUUUCA